GGAGAGGUCGCAUAGUCUGGUCUAGUGCUCUGGUUUGCUAAACCGGUGUACGAACGGGAGUUCGUAUCGAGAGUUCGAAUCUCUCCCUCUCCG
rnacentral:tRNA from 1 species